rnacentral:rRNA from 1 species
CGGAUGGGCAUUACGUAACAGCGGCGAGCGAGCGAGGAAGAGCUCAAAUUUAUAAUCUGGCACCUUCGGUGUCCGAGUUGUAAUCUCUAGAAAUGUUUUCCGCGUUGGACCGCACACAAGUCUGUUGGAAUACAGCGGCAUAGUGGUGAGACCCCCGUAUAUGGUGCGGACGCCCAGCGCUUUGUGAUACAUUUUCGAAGAGUCGAGUUGUUUGGGAAUGCAGCUCAAAUUGGGUGGUAAAUUCCAUCUAAAGCUAAAUAUUGGCGAGAGACCGAUAGCGAACAAGUACCGUGAGGGAAAGAUGAAAAGCACUUUGGAAAGAGAGUUAACAGUACGUGAAAUUGUUGGAAGGGAAACGCUUGAAGUCAGACUUGCUUGCCGAGCAAUCGGUUUGCAGGCCAGCAUCAGUUUUCCGGGAUGGAUAAUGGUAGAGAGAAGGUAGCAGUUUCGGCUGUGUUAUAGCUCUCUGCUGGAUACAUCUUGGGGGACUGAGGAACGCAGUGUGCCUUUUGGCGGGGGUUUCGACCUCUUCACACUUAGGAUGCUGGUGGAAUGGCUUUAAACGACCCGUCUUGAACCCCGGACCAAAA